rnacentral:rRNA from 1 species
UACGAAGGGGGCUAGCGUUGCUCGGAAUCACUGGGCGUAAAGGGUGCGUAGGCGGGUCUUUAAGUCAGGGGUGAAAUCCUGGAGCUCAACUCCAGAACUGCCUUUGAUACUGAAGAUCUUGAGUUCGGGAGAGGUGAGUGGAACUGCGAGUGUAGAGGUGAAAUUCGUAGAUAUUCGCAAGAACACCAGUGGCGAAGGCGGCUCACUGGCCCGAUACUGACGCUGAGGCACGAAAAGCGUGGG